rnacentral:rRNA from 1 species
AUUGAACGCUGGCGGCAUGCCUUACACAUGCAAGUCGAACGGCAGCACGGGUGCUUGCACCUGGUGGCGAGUGGCGAACGGGUGAGUAAUACAUCGGAACAUGUCCUGUAGUGGGGGAUAGCCCGGCGAAAGCCGGAUUAAUACAGCAUACGAUCUACGGAUGAAAGCGGGGGACCUUGGGGCCUGGCGCUAUAGGGUUGGCCGAUGGCUGAUUAGCUAGUUGGUGGGGUAAAGGCCUACCAAGGCGACGAUCAGUAGCUGGUCUGAGAGGACGACCAGCCACACUGGGACUGAGACACGGCCCAGACUCCUACGGGAGGCAGCAGUGGGGAAUUUUGGACAAUGGGCGAAAGCCUGAUCCAGCAAUGCCGCGUGUGUGAAGAAGGCCUUCGGGUUGUAAAGCACUUUUGUCCGGAAAGAAAUCCUUGGCCCUAAUACGGUCGGGGGAUGACGGUACCGGAAGAAUAAGCACCGGCUAACUACGUG